CGUGGUGGGGGCGAAGGCAUCUUCGAUAUUAUACUAAACGACUCUCGGCAACGGAUAUCUCGGCUCUCGCAUCGAUGAAGAACGUAGCGAAAUGCGAUACUUGGUGUGAAUUGCAGAAUCCCGUGAACCAUCGAGUCUUGAACGCAAGUUGCGCCCAAAGCCAU
rnacentral:rRNA from 1 species